UCACUGCUUGCUAAUUUAAAUUAUCCAAUCACAACAUACAAAUGGUGUAUGUCCGUUGACGUCAAUAACGUAGAUAGUUGCGCGUAUAAAUGUCUUGACUCACUUGUUAGUGGUCUUCUUUCACUCGUUCAAUCGUCUGCGCAUUCUCAUCGGAACCUUGACAAAAAUUUUCAUGCCACGUGGUCCAAAUAGUUCAACUCCGUCAAACAAAAAUAAUGGACAGAAUGAAUAAUCUCAAAGGAUUAAAGAAAUAGCAGACCUCGGUAGAUGCUACUACGCCAGAGGAAAGCGCUCAUCGUCAUCCUCUUCCACUUCACUUUGAGUAAUACGCGUGCUUCCGAAAGAUGCAAUGGAGAGCGAAAGGAGAAAUCGCAUACACCCGACAACAAACGGGUAAUUGUGAUAUCUCCCAACGAAAGCACCUCGUCUCUCAUCGACUUCCUUGAAUAGUGGGUAGAAAGAUGGUCACGUGAGAUAGCAUUCCACGGUAAGGAGUCUAAAGUGAUCCUGAAAAACAUCAGUGAAGCGUCAAAUACCUUGUGGGAAAGGGUUUUAUUCUUGAAGUAAUAGAAGCUUUCUUACUUUCUACCUGACAAGACUCUGUCAUCUGGAAAUUACCUUUAUUUUUUUUUUUUUUUUACAACUCGACGAACCGGAUGUCACUUUCCAUUCUCGGUUUUCUCUCUUUCCAAUUUACGACACUCGGACAGAUAUUUCGCCCCCAUUCAAGGACGCAUUAUUCCAAUUCAGUUAAAGUCUGUAGAACGACAGUGUGAAGUCAAUCGUCGCCAAAGUAACAACAAAAACCUUUGGCAGUGUUUCUCGUAGGGAUGAGGAGUCGGUGGAAAAAUACACGACUCCGACUCCAUCCCUGGUUUUUCGAGUUCACAUACUUUGUUAUGCUAUUGUUCCGAAUCGUUUUAAAUGAUUAUAAAUGGCCGAGGUAACUUCUAUUACGCAGACAUUUACAACCGGUGUUCUGCCGCUUAAAAAUCUCACCACAAAAGAGCGGAUGUUGGCCACCAGAUUACACUACUAGAAGGAAGCCAUUCCAACGUUCAAUUUAAAACACAUUGCAGUCAGUAUAAGCCAGAAUGAUAAUUAUUUCAACAAUGUAAUUUGUAUAUCGAAUCGUCUUGACUGUAUAUAAAUUUUUAUAUUUUAUUAAAAUUUCAUAUUAACUGUU